rnacentral:rRNA from 1 species
GAUGAACGCUGGCGGCGUGCCUAAUACAUGCAAGUCGAGCGAACAGACGAGGAGCUUGCUCCUCUGACGUUAGCGGCGGACGGGUGAGUAACACGUGGAUAACCUACCUAUAAGACUGGGAUAACUUCGGGAAACCGGAGCUAAUACCGGAUAAUAUAUUGAACCGCAUGGUUCAAUAGUGAAAGACGGUUUUGCUGUCACUUAUAGAUGGAUCCGCGCCGCAUUAGCUAGUUGGUAAGGUAACGGCUUACCAAGGCAACGAUGCGUAGCCGACCUGAGAGGGUGAUCGGCCACACUGGAACUGAGACACGGUCCAGGCUCCUACGGGAGGCAGCAGUAGGGAAUCUUCCGCAAUGGGCGAAAGCCUUGCGGAGCAACGCCGCGUGAGUGGUGAAGGUCUUCGGAUCGUAAAACUCUGUUAUUAGGGAAGAACAAAUGUGUAAGUAACUAUGCACGUCUUGACGGUACCUAAUCAGAAAGCCACGGCUAACUACGUG